GCCAGUAUGGCAUAGUGGUUUGUGUGUUGGACUGUAACUCUGGAGACUAGGGUUUCAUUCCCACCUUGGCC